UUGGAAUGGAGCAGAAGGAGACUCACAAGGGGAAUGAUGGAGAUAUACUUGAAGACCUGGACCUCAGCAAACAGAUUGGAUUGGAGCAUGUGAAGAAACAGGGAAACACAGCUCAGUAAUGACAAGUGCAUCAUUAAAAAUUAGGUGGAGUGGAGAAAUUAGGGAAUCACAAAUCUCAGCAAUAAUAAGAAACUGAUGGUCAGGUAUCGCCUAUUGACGACAGAUGUCCUUCCAAGAGGAUAGAUGUCUUGUCUGUGGCAGGUAUUUCUUUUUCAUGUAAUGGACACUACAUGCAGAAGGAAGAAACUCACAAGAGCAUUGGUGGAGAUUUAUCUGUAGAACGCAGGAGAACAGCUUGUGCAUUGCUGGAGCUCAGCAAAACAUGUAGAGCUCCGUUAGUCCUGUCUUUGUCUUUUACAGAGUGGAGUGCAGCAUGUGGAGUAAAAUAGGAAUUACGCACUUCAGCAAUGACCUGAAACUCAUGGUCAGGAAUAUUCUUCAAAGGCAGAAGGAUGGGUACAUGGAUAGAUGUCCUUCCAAGAGGAUGGGGU